rnacentral:rRNA from 2 species
UUCGCAAUGCCCGAAAGGGUGACGAAGCGACGCCGCGUGUGGGAUGAAGGCCCUCGGGUUGUAAACCACUGUCGGGAGUUAAGAAUUGUAGGAAUGCUAAUAGUAUUUCUACUUGACUAAGGCUCCGGAGGAAGCCACGGCUAACUCUGUGCCAGCAGCCGCGGUAAUACAGAGGCGGCAAGCGUUGUUCGGAAUUAUUGGGCGUAAAGAGCAUGUAGGCGGCUAUGUAAGUCGGUUGUGAAAGCCUUCCGCUUAACGGAAGAAUGGCGGUCGAAACUGCAUGGCUUGAGUGCGGGAGGGGAGAGUGGAACUUCUGGUGGAGCGGUGAAAUGCGUAGAUAUCAGAAGGAACGUCGGCGGCGAAAGCGACUCUCUAGACCGUAACUGACGCUGAGUGUGCGAAAGCUAGGGGAGCAAACGGGAUUAGAUACCCCGGUAGUCCUAGCCGUAAACGAUGGGCACUAAGUAGAGGGGUUUU